rnacentral:rRNA from 1 species
UACGUAGGGACCGAGCGUUGUCCGGAUUCAUUGGGCGUAAAGAGCUCGUAGGCGGCUGCUCAAGUCGAAUGUGAAAACUCGAGGCUCAACCUCGAGCCUGCAUUCGAUACUGGGCGGCUAGAGUCUGGUAGGGGGAUCUGGAAUUCCUGGUGUAGCGGUGGAAUGCGCAGAUAUCAGGAGGAACACCGGUGGCGAAGGCGGUUCUCUGGGCAUUACCUGACGCUGAGGAGCGAAAGUGUGGGGAGCGAACAGG